rnacentral:rRNA from 1 species
GUCUAUGGCCAUCCCACUCUGAAUGUGCCCCAUCUGGGCUGGUCUCGGAAGCUAAGCAGGAUCGGGCAUGGUUAGUGCUUGGAUCCGAGAAUACAGAAGAACUGGGACCUUAAGCU